UACGGAGGGUGCAAGCGUUAUCCGGAAUCAUUGGGUUUAAAGGGUCCGCAGGCGGAAGUAUAAGUCAGUGGUGAAAGCCUACAGCUCAACUGUAGAACUGCCAUUGAUACUGUACUUCUUGAAUUUGGUCGAAGUGGGCGGAAUAUGACAUGUAGCGGUGAAAUGCUUAGAUAUGUCAUAGAACACCGAUAGCGAAGGCAGCUCACUAGUCCAGUAUUGACGCUCAUGGACGAAAGCGUGGGGAGCAAACAGG
rnacentral:rRNA from 1 species